CCUUAUUUCUUAAUUUAAAAAGCCUAACACUCUAGCCCACAAUCACACCCAACAAACUCACUGCCCGACACCCACACUCAAACCCUAACCUCCAUGGAUGACCCUCUUUGAAACCCUAACCCUCUCCAAAACUCUAACCCUGAAAUUUAUGAGGCCUCUGCUACUAUUUGACUGAUUGUGGAGGAGGCAUAUCCGUGUUUGGCCACCAUUAGCUGACUGAAACCCAUUCCUUCAUGUUGUUUGGCAUUCGACUGCAAUUUUUGGCAUUGACACCUAAUGGACAGUGACCUACAUUAGACUAUGAGAGAUGUGAGAUGCAAGACUUGAGACAAAGACAAAUUGAGGAAGGGCCCUUAGAAUUCAUCCACCACAAAAACAUAAAUCAUCAAAGAGGGAGCCUACUUGGGUUGUAGUAGGGUGCCCAAUACAACCAGGCAGUGUUGAAUGUGGAUACUAUGUGAUGAGAUAUAUGAGAGAUAUUAUUGCUGAUUAAGGAUGUCUUACAUCAAAGUUUCAUGGGAAAAAAUCGUAUAGCAAAGAUGAGUUGAAUGAAGUACGAUCAGAAUGGGUAAUGCUAGUCACUCAGUUGAUACUUUCUUCUGUUUGAAGGCUUUGAAGACACCUUUCUGUAUGGAAAUAGAUCAUACUUUUGCCCAAUCCAACUAUCACCUUUGUUAAGGCAUCCAAAAGGAAACUUUUUGAAGCUAAAAGUUGGAAGCUUUUCCAAGUUUCUAAUAGUUCAUGGGCUAUUGCCACAAAAAAGAAUGUUCUUGUUGGUUCAAAGGGAAACAUGAAGAUUUCUAAUUUUGGCCAUGGUGUUAUACCACAACAUUAUCGGGUAAGUGAUUGAGCGUAGCUCUAGAAACUGCCAGUGAAGUAUCUCUAUGAACAUAAUCCCCUCAUGAUUUGCAGAAAUUUUAAGACUAACAACAUACUCUUAAAGGUAUGGUCUCUACUACUCAUAAAUUACCAUUAUAUUUUGUUCAUUCAGAAAAUUUAUAUUGGUGAUGAAGUUUUUAUUAUUUUACAUCAUUGGCUUGAUAACCAUGCUUUUUAAAUUUAGUAUACAUGAGAAAUAACAAUUAAAAAAAAAUGAAUUCCGGUUUCUCACUUUAUGUGUUUGUAUUAUGGACAUUUUUAAGCUAAAGUUCCUUAAGCUUUACUUUUGUGUAAUGUAUUGCAUGAUAGACUGAUGUUUGAAUCUCUAUUUGGCUUCAUAGAUAACCUGAAUUUAUUGUUAAAUUUUUAUGCAAUCAUAUAUUUGCCAUAUAGUUGUCACUUUAGAUCGCUCACAUAAUUCUAGAUAUUUUCCCAAAUAUGUUUUAUUUUAAAAAAAUAAUCAUAAUCUUUUUAAAUAUGAAAUAUGAGCUUUCAUUAAAAAAUAUUCAUCAGUAGAAGAUGUUUAUCUACUAUUAAGUUGUAGAUAUUCUUCUCUACAUUUUUUUAUGCAUGCCAAUUUAUUUAUUAUUAAGUUCUGGAAUUCAUAUGGUUGUUGCUAGCCUUGAUAGUGAUAAAUAAAAUGAAUGAUAAGUAUGAUACAAUUGACCACUAUUUUGGAUGCAAUGUUGCAACUCAUAUCAUAUGGUGGGAAGUGUUAAUUCUUUUAACUUAACAAAAAACUUAGUUGAUAAAGUAUCAUGGUGUAAACCUUAUUUAUUUCAUGUUACACCAUAUUCCCAAACCUUCAUUUGUCAAUGUUGGACAUUCGACGAGGUCUAUUACUAUUAGAUGAUGCCUAAUUGAAUAUUUUAAUGGACUAUUGAUGUUGAUAUUCUCUUGUCCCAAACUUGGUUUGUUUUUCUAUUUUCUUUUGGGCUAUACUAAAGAUUUAAUGGAUUAUCGAUGUUGAUGUUCUCUUAUCCCGUAUUUGAUUAAUCUCUUGUUUUGUGUUUUAACUAUUGAUAGUAAUUUUGUUGUAAUUAUUCUUAGAGUCACAUAUGUCAAUUGGUAUACACAUUUGAUUUCC